ensembl:lncRNA
CUGUCUUGAACCAGUCAGCUUCAAAUUUCUUAGUUUGAGUAGUGUUUGUUAUAUAUAGGUGAAAUGAUAAUCUUGCAUUCAUUAUCUUGCUGAAGUUGAGGGUUCAUAACAGAUUUCCUUACCUGCUGUUUUAAAAGCAUUCCCUUCUUCUAUAAAUAGUGCUUGUUUUUCUUGCAUUUGUGUUCUUUAAUAUGUAGUGUUUUGUAGUGUUAUAAAACCUGUGGAAAUCCCUAUACAACCUCUGGUACCAGUUGAUGACAAUAAAGGCAAUAGAAGAUCAACAGCUGCAACUUUUCCUGAGCUGUGUGGACCACCGUGCAAAGCCCUGACAGCGCCUGAGAACAUUUUGGCCAGCCGUUCAUCGUGGUCUUUUGUGCCGCACCCUUCAGGCCCAAAGAUGAGCUGAUUGCUGAAACGUCUAGUGGAUGUCUCACGCGGGCUGAUUUUUGGACUCCGGGUUUAAAUGAACAAUUGGAAUCUAUACCCAGUGACAUGUCGAAGAGGUUAACACGCGAGGAGCGGAUUGAAAUUGCAUUGAUAUCUGGUGAACGCAGUAACCGGGUCAUUGCAGCAGAUUUCAAUGCAAGACACCCUACGAGACCACCCAUCUCCCAUGCUACAGUUACCAAACUGCUUGCUAAGUUUCGUGAAACUGGUUCAGUGUUGGAUUUGCCAAAAUGUGGAUGCAAGAAAACUGUCACUAAUGAAGAAACAUCAGUGGCUGUCCUAGCUUCAUUCAGCAAGAGCCCACAGCGUAGCACUCGCCGCAUGUCACUGGAGAGUGGC